GCCUUUGUGGUGUAGUGGUUAGCACACUCGGCACAUAAUCGAGAAGUCUAGGUUCAAGUCCCGGCAAGGGCA
rnacentral:tRNA from 1 species